rnacentral:rRNA from 1 species
UACGUAGGGGGCAAGCGUUGUCCGGAAUCAUUGGGCGUAAAGCGCGUGUAGGCGGCCCGGUAAGUCCGCUGUGAAAGUCGGGGGCUCAACCCUCGAAUGCCGGUGGAUACUGUCGGGCUAGAGUGCGGAAGAGGCGAGUGGAAUUCCUGGUGUAGCGGUGAAAUGCGCAGAUAUCAGGAGGAACACCAAUUGCGAAGGCAGCUCGCUGGGACGUGACUGACGCUAAGGCGCGAAAGCGUGGGGAGCGAACAGG